rnacentral:tRNA from 1 species
AGGGGCGUCGCCAAGUGGUUAAGGCACCGGGUUUUGAUCCCGGCAUUCGUAGGUNNUCGAAUCCUUCCGCCCCUGCCA